GUACCAUGAUGUAUCACAGGCGUUGGU
rnacentral:sRNA from 1 species